rnacentral:rRNA from 1 species
GCAACGCAGUCUGAUCCAGCCAUUCCGCGUGCAGGAUGAAGGCCCUCGGGUUGUAAACUGCUUUUGUACAGAACGAAAAGGCUCUGGUUAAUACCUAGGGCUCAUGACGGUACUGUAAGAAUAAGCACCGGCUAACUACGUGCCAGCAGCCGCGGUAAUACAA